CGGCAGCGAGACAGGCUGGGAAGAUGCCAGUGGCGGUGAUGGCGGAAACUGCCUUCAGUUUCAAAAAGUUGCUGGAUUAGUGCGAGAACCAGGAGCUCGAGGCUCCCGGAGGAAUUGCUACACCCCCAGUGUAUGGUCAGCUUCUGGCUUUAUAUUUGCUCCAUAAUGACAUGAAUAAUGCAAGAUAUCUUUGGAAAAGAAUACCGCCUGCUAUAAAAUCUGCAAAUUCUGAACUUGGAGGAAUUUGGUCCGUAGGACAAAGAAUCUGGCAGAGAGAUUUCCCUGGGAUCUAUACGACCAUCAAUGCUCACCUGUGGUCUGAGACAGUCCAGCCGAUCAUGGAAGCACUUAGAGAUGCAACAAGGAGACGAGGCUUCGCCCUGGUCUCUCAAGCGCAUACCUCCAUAAUCGCUGAUGAUUUCGCAGCCUUUGUUGGACUUCCUGUUGAAGAGGCUGUGAAAGGUAUAUUAGAACAAGGAUGGCAAGCAGACUCCACCACAAGAAUGGUUCUGCCUAGAAAGCCAGUUGCAGGGGCCCUGGAUGUUUCCUUUAACAAGUUUAUUCCCUUAUCAGAGCCUGCCCCAGUUCCCCCAAUCCCCGAUGAACAGCAGCUAGCCAGACUGACCGAUUAUGUGGCUUUCCUUGAAAACUGAUCUAUCACCCUGAGUUCAAGAUCUACCUUCAGAAUCCUGUGUACUGACAAAUGUAGAAAUGUAAAAUUUUUAUUUUCAAUUUAUUGGAUGGAUGAAGCACCUCAGCAUUCCUUACUGAUUAUGUGAUAAAAUACAUAUAUAAUAUAAAGUAUAUCUAUUUUGUCCUUAAAUAUGCUGGAUGGUUGUUGAAACAACUCUCAUUUUGUAAUAUUUAACAAUCUGGAUGGAGCUUGUCAGUAUUAUGUGGUUAGUUCAUAUAUUUCCUAGUGACUUAUAAAAUAAGAUCUCCUACUCCAUGUA